rnacentral:rRNA from 1 species
GGAAGCGCAGUAAUGCGUUGAGCUAACCGGUACUAAUUGCUCGUGAGGCUUGACCCUA